rnacentral:rRNA from 1 species
GUGGGGAAUAUUGGACAAUGGGCGAAAGCCUGAUCCAGCCAUGCCGCGUGUGUGAAGAAGGUCUUCGGAUUGUAAAGCACUUUAAGUUGGGAGGAAGGGCAGUAAGUUAAUACCUUGCUGUUUUGACGUUACCGACAGAAUAAGCACCGGCUAACUUCGUGCCAGCAGCCGCGGUAAUACGAAGGGUGCAAGCGUUAAUCGGAAUUACUGGGCGUAAAGCGCGCGUAGGUGGUUUUGUAAGUUGGAGGUGAAAUCCCCGGGCUCAAACUGGGAACUGCAUGAAAAACUGCAUGACUAGAGUACGGUAGAGGGUAGUGGAAUUUCCUGUGUAGCGGUGAAAUGUGUAGAUAUAGGAAGGAACACCAGUGGCGAAGGCGACUACCUGGACUGAUACUGACACUGAGGUGCGAAAGCGUGGGGAGCAAACAGGAUUAGAAACCCGGGUAGUCC